CCUACGGGAGGCUGCAGUAGGGAAUCUUCCACAAUGGGCGAAAGCCUGAUGGAGCAACGCCGCGUGGGUGAAGAAGGUCUUCGGAUCGUAAAACCCUGUUGUUAGAGAAGAAAGAGCGUGAGAGUAACUGUUCACGUUUCGACGGUAUCUAACCAGAAAGCCACGGCUAACUACGUGCCAGCAGCCGCGGUAAUACGUAGGUGGCAAGCGUUAUCCGGAUUUAUUGGGCGUAAAGGGAGCGCAGUCGGUCUUUUAAGUCUGAUGUGAAAGUCUUCGGCUUAACCGGAGUAGUGCAUUGGAAACUGGGAGACUUGAGUGCAGAAGAGGUGAGUGGAACUCGAUGUGUAGCGGUGAAAUGCGUAGAUAUAUGGAAGAACACCAGUGGCGAAAGCGGCUCUCUGGUCUGUAACUGACGCUGAGGUUCGAAAGCGUGGGUAGCAAACAGGAUUAGAUGCCCUGGUAGUC
rnacentral:rRNA from 1 species